UAUUUUGUUGGUUUCUAGGAUCNACGUAAUGAUUAAUAGGGAUAGUUGGGGGCAUUAGUAUUCAAUUGUCAGAGGUGAAAUUCUUGGAUUUAUUGAAGACUAACNNNUGCGAAAGCAUUUGCCAAGGAUGUUUUCAUUAAUCAAGAACGAAAGUUAGGGGAUCGAAGACGAUCAGAUACCGUCGUAGU
rnacentral:rRNA from 1 species